rnacentral:rRNA from 1 species
CGUGGGUAAUCUGCCUGUAAGACGGGGAUAACUCCGGGAAACCGGGGCUAAUACCGGAUAAUAAGAGAAGAAGCAUUUCUUCUUUUUGAAAGUCGGUUUCGGCUGACACUUACAGAUGAGCCCGCGGCGCAUUAGCUAGUUGGUGAGGUAACGGCUCACCAAGGCGACGAUGCGUAGCCGACCUGAGAGGGUGAUCGGCCACACUGGGACUGAGACACGGCCCAGACUCCUACGGGAGGCAGCAGUAGGGAAUCUUCGGCAAUGGGCGAAAGCCUGACCGAGCAACGCCGCGUGAGCGAUGAAGGCCUUCGGGUCGUAAAGCUCUGUUGUUAGAGAAGAACAAGUACGAGAGUAACUGCUCGUACCUUGACGGUACCUAACCAGAAAGCCACGGCUAACUACGUGCCAGCAGCCGCGGUAAUACGUAGGUGGCAAGCGUUAUCCGGAAUUAUUGGGCGUAAAGCGCGCGCAGGCGGUCUCUUAAGUCUGAUGUGAAAGCCCACGGCUCAACCGUGGAGGGUCAUUGGAAACUGGGAGACUUGAGUGCAGGAGAGAAAAGUGGAAUUCCACGUGUAGCGGUGAAAUGCGUAGAGAUGUGGAGGAACACCAGUGGCGAAGGCGGCUUUUUGGCCUGUAACUGACGCUGAGGCGCGAAAGCGUGGGGAGCAAACAGGAUUAGAUACCCUGGUAGUCCACGCCGUAAACGAUGAGUGCUAGGUGUUGGGGGGUUCCACCCUCAGUGCUGAAGUUAACACAUUAAGCACUCCGCCUGGGGAGUACGACCGCAAGGUUGAAACUCAAAGGAAUUGACGGGGGCCCGCACAAGCAGUGGAGCAUGUGGUUUAAUUCGAAGCAACGCGAAGAACCUUACCAGGUCUUGACAUCCUUUGACCACUCUAGAGAUAGAGCUUUCCCCUUCGGGGGACAAAGUGACAGGUGGUGCAUGGUGUCGUCAGCUCGGU